CCUACGGGUGGCUGCAGUGAGGAAUAUUGGUCAAUGGCCGAGAGGCUGAACCAGCCAAGUCGCGUGAGGGAAGAAUGUCCUAUGGAUUGUAAACCUCUUUUGUCAGGGAGCAAAGUCACCCACGUGUGGGUGUUGGAGAGUACCUGAAGAAAAAGCAUCGGCUAACUCCGUGCCAGCAGCCGCGGUAAUACGGAGGAUGCGAGCGUUAUCCGGAUUUAUUGGGUUUAAAGGGUGCGUAGGCGGGUUAUCAAGUCAGCGGUAAAAUCGUGGAGCUCAACUCCAUCCAGCCGUUGAAACUGAUGAUCUUGAGUGGGCGAGAAGUAUGCGGAAUGCGUGGUGUAGCGGUGAAAUGCAUAGAUAUCACGCAGAACACCGAUUGCGAAGGCAUCUCACGAAUCCGCGAUUGACGCUGAUGCACGAAAGCGUGGGUAUCAAACAGGAUUAGAUACCCGUGUAGUC
rnacentral:rRNA from 1 species